CCUACGGGGGGCAGCAGUGGGGGAUAUUGCACAAUGGAGGAAACUCUGAUGCAGCAACGCCGCGUGAGGAAGAAGGUCUUCGGAUUGUAAACCUCUGUCCUCAGGGACGAUAAUGACGGUACCUGAGGAGGAAGCUCCGGCUAACUACGUGCCAGCAGCCGCGGUAAUACGUAGGGAGCAAGCGUUGUCCGGAUUUACUGGGUGUAAAGGGUGCGUAGGCGGCCCUGCAAGUCAGGUGUGAAAACUAUGGGCUUAACUCAUAGAUUGCACUGGAAACUGUGGGGCUUGAGUGAAGUAGAGGCGGGCGAAAUUCCGGGUGGAGGGGGAAAGUGCGGAGAGAUGGGGAAGAACACAAGGGGCGAAGGGGGCCGGCGGGGUUUUAACGGACGUUGGGGCACGAAAGCGUGGGUGGCAAACAGAAUUAAAUACCCUGGUAGUC
rnacentral:rRNA from 1 species